UGGGGAAUAUUGCACAAUGGAGGAAACUCUGAUGCAGCGACGCCGCGUGAGUGAAGAAGUAUUUCGGUAUGUAAAGCUCUAUCAGCAGGGAAGACAGUGACGGUACCUGACUAAGAAGCUCCGGCUAAAUACGUGCCAGCAGCCGCGGUAAUACGUAGGUGGCGAGCGUUAUCCGGAAUUAUUGGGCGUAAAGAGGGAGCAGGCGGCACUAAGGGUCUGUGGUGAAAGAUCGAAGCUUAACUUCGGUAAGCCAUGGAAACCGUAGAGCUAGAGUGUGUGAGAGGAUCGUGGAAUUCCAUGUGUAGCGGUGAAAUGCGUAGAUAUAUGGAGGAACACCAGUGGCGAAGGCGACGAUCUGGCGCAUAACUGACGCUCAGUCCCGAAAGCGUGGGGAGCAAAUAGGAUUAGAUACCCUAGUAGUCCACGCCGUAAACGAUGAGUACUAAGUGUUGGGUGUCAAAGCUCAGUGCUGCAGUUAACGCAAUAAGUACUCCGCCUGAGUAGUACGUUCGCAAGAAUGAAACUCAAAGGAAUUGACGGGGGCCCGCACAAGCGGUGGAGCAUGUGGUUUAAUUCGAAGCAACGCGAAGAACCUUACCAGGUCUUGACAUCGAUCUAAAGGCUCCAGAGAUGGAGAGAUAGCUAUAGAGAAGACAGGUGGUGCAUGGUUGUCGUCAGCUCGUGUCGUGAGAUGUUGGGUUAAGUCCCGCAACGAGCGCAACCCCUGUUGCCAGUUGCCAGCAUUAAGUUGGGGACUCUGGCGAGACUGCCGGUGACAAGCCGGAGGAAGGCGGGGAUGACGUCAAAUCAUCAUGCCCCUUAUGACCUGGGCUACACACGUGCUACAAUGGACAGAGCAGAGGGAAGCGAAGCCGCGAGGUGGAGCGAAACCCAUAAAACUGUUCUCAGUUCGGACUGCAGUCUGCAACUCGACUGCACGAAGAUGGAAUCGCUAGUAAUCGCGAAUCAGCAUGUCGCGGUGAAUACGUUCUC
rnacentral:rRNA from 1 species